AUUGAACGCUGGCGGAAUGCUUUACACAUGCAAGUCGAACGGCAGCACGGACUUCGGUCUGGUGGCGAGUGGCGAACGGGUGAGUAAUACAUCGGAACGUGCCCAGUCGUGGGGGAUAACGUAGCGAAAGCUACGCUAAUACCGCAUACGAUCUAAGGAUGAAAGCGGGGGAUCGCAAGACCUCGCGCGAUUGGAGCGGCCGAUGGCAGAGUAGGUAGUUGGUAGGGUAAAGGCCUACCAAGCCGACGAUCUGUAGCUGGUCUGAGAGGAUGAUCAGCCAAGCUGGGACUGAGACACGGCCCAGACUCCUACGGGAGGCAGCAGUGGGGAAUUUUGGACAAUGGGCGCAGGCCUGAUCCAGCCAUUCCGCGUGCAGGAUGAAGGCCUUCGGGUUGUAAACUGCUUUUGUACAGAACGAAAAGGCUCUGGUUAAUACCCGGGGCUCAUGACGGUACUGUAAGAAUAAGCACCGGCUAACUACGUGCCAGCCGCCGCGGUAA
rnacentral:rRNA from 1 species